GACGAACGCUGGCGGCGUGCUUAACACAUGCAAGUCGAACGGAAAGGCCCUGCUUUUGUGGGGUGCUCGAGUGGCGAACGGGUGAGUAACACGUGAGUAACCUGCCCUUGACUUUGGGAUAACUUCAGGAAACUGGGGCUAAUACCGGAUAGGAGCUCCUGCUGCAUGGUGGGGGUUGGAAAGUUUCGGCGGUUGGGGAUGGACUCGCGGCUUAUCCGCUUGUUGGUGGGGUAGUGGCUUACCAAGGCUUUGACGGGUAGCCGGCCUGAGAGGGUGACCGGCCACAUUGGGACUGAGAGACGGCCCAGACUCCUACGGGAGGCAGCAGUGGGGAAUAUUGCACAAUGGGCGGAAGCCUGAUGCAGCAACGCCGCGUGCGGGAUGACGGCCUUCGGGGUGUAAACCGCUUUCGCCGGUGACGAAGCGUGAGUGACGGUAAUGGGUAAAGAAGCACCGGCUAACUACGUG
rnacentral:rRNA from 1 species